rnacentral:rRNA from 1 species
CACGUAGGGCGCAAGCGUUGUCCGGAAUUAUUGGGCGUAAAGAGCGUGUAGGCGGCUUGGUAAGUCCGCUGUGAAAGUCCAGGGCUCAACCCUGGAAUGCCGGUGGAAACUGUCAAGCUUGAGUCCGGAAGAGGCGAGUGGAAUUCCUGGUGUAGCGGUGAAAUGCGCAGAUAUCAGGAAGAACACCAAUGGCGAAGGCAGCUCUCUGGGACGGUACUGACGCUGAGACGCGAAAGCGUGGGGAGCGAACAGG